rnacentral:lncRNA from 1 species
UUUUUUUUUGUUUCUCAAUGUAUAUUUUGAAUUUGGGCCUGAAAUUUUUAGGGAUCAUACAUUCAUGUGAUGUGAACAUUCACAAUUUUUUUUUCAUUUUGAAACAUUUAAAAUUGAAUUUGAAAUGAUAUCAUGGUAUCACCUAAAGGGUGGUAUCAUGUGAUAUUCUCCCGUCAUGUAUAUCUCGCGCAUACACGCACACUGCUUGUGCGGCGUCAGGCAGUGCUUAACUAUAUCUUUUUUUAGAAACUGUAUCCAAUUAGUAGCUUUGUAGCUCUAGCUGCAUGCGUAUGAAUAUUCCACGUGGUCUCCCUACAUAAUUACUAAGUUAGACCACGCAAGAAUGCAUCAACCGAUACUGAUUGAACAGAUAAAUAAAGAACAAAAGUUUCUACUAGAAGUCACACGCAAAAAAGAAAUUGCAAAGAAAGAAAAUAAGAAGAGACACUACAGGAAGUCAGGCUGAGCAGGUGGUGAACAUCGAUGCGGCAGCUCUGAAAACCACUGUCCGUCUGUGGCCACUGUGCCUCUGUCGAACUUCUUGCAGUGUAACUGAAUAUUGCGAGCCCAGCCACACACAUAAAAGAAAACUAUCAUGGCACUGACAAUAUGCAUUUAAAAUAUAAAUAAAUGUAAAAAAAAUAUUCAACUGACGUCCGCAUGACGUCGCCUGACGAGCCACAACCUACAGGGUUGGCCCACCACCGGGCUCUAUAGGCGAGGCAACGGUGUGCCUCGUAGUAAGAGCAUCUCCAACAGACGCGUAACGCAUGGUGCACUAAAAAACAGUAUACAACGCUGGGUGAGCCAGCUUUUGCGCGCGGCGGUGCGCCGGCUCCAGCGGCCGCCGCAAAAUAAAGCGCGCCCGAGCCGCUCCAGGAGACGCGCUAUAUUUCUUCUUUUUUGUACUACGACUCGAUACACAUUUGGCUCCGAUAGUACAUAGAUAAAUGAUACAUUAUAUUAAAAAUGAUACAUAUAUAGUUGAUAGCCUCCUCCUACGAUAGAUAGUAAAACGAAAAACUACUACUACUCGUCAUCCUUCGACUCAGACUCCACCUCGGUGAUGUCCUCCUCCGACGUCUGAAUGAAGGCGUCAAGGAACCGCUCGUCGUUGGAGCCCUAGGACGAUGCAUCUCCUAGCGCGAUGUUGAAUUCAGCGGCCGCCUUCCCCUUUCGCCUGUCCUCGCGAUAGGCGGCUCACUCCACCCUCCUCUCCUCCCUUUUCGCCCUCCUCUCGACGAAUAACUGUUGCUCGUUGAUGACGUCUUGCGGGAAGCGUUGGCACCACAGCGCCAUGGCUUGCUCGUUCAUCUCGGUCAGGCUGAGACGGCGCUCCCGCCUCCAGUUCUUGUGACGAUCCUCGUCGGUGAUAAGCCGUGGGGGAGGCGCCAACUCCUGCGCCCGCUGCCGCAUCGCCUCGUGGGCGGUGUCGAAGGUGCCAAGGCCGAGGCGCACUUCACCGGACCGAAUCUCGGUAGAGUAGGUGCUGGACGGGCGCAUGCGGACGCCGCAGUAGCCCGAAGCUCCCGGCGGCGCAGCGGCAUGGUGGUGCGAUUGUGGCGCGUCGGCGGCGAGGUGAGAAAGCGGUAGAGGGAGCGAGGAGAGAGCGGCAGAGGGCGCGUGGCGAUGUGGAUAGCGAUGGAACGGUGCAUGGCGGGCGCUGCAUUUUAUAGGCGCGUCGGAAGCGUCGCGCCAAAUCUAGCACGCGGCCGCCCGCUUUUUCCUGCGCGCGCGCAAUCGUUUCCCGCGCGCCUGAUUUUCCCGCAUCCGCUGGAGCGCGCGAAACCGUCCCGCACGCUAAAAUCUCAUUUUACCGCGCGCGCGCGUUUUUUGCAGCCACAGUUGGAGAUGCUCUAAGCGGCACAUAGCCGCACCAAUGGCUCGGGCCUUGGCGACCCGUUUUGUAGAAGGGAGUUAAAAAGCGAAAAUAAAAUUAGAGUUGUGAGAUCUAAAUAAUCUAUUUGGUUAAAAGAAAUGUGAUUUUAGAACGGAUUAGGUAUGAGACUUUUUUUUAGUGGGGAAUUAGGUAUGGGAGUUAACUCCCACAAAUUUUUUUUGACAUAAACUCCCACCAUUUUAGCAACAGGGAAGAGAGUCUGAGUUGAAAGGGAAUUGUUUUACAUACAACAUCCAGAUUAUUCAUCAUAACUUAUGCUCUCAUAUUGUAAAAAAGGUGUUAUUAUUUUCUCCAAAGAAAACAAGGGUAGAAACUUUCUUCACUUUCUCCUCAAAGCCCCAGACAUAAUUACCAUCAGAUACAAAACCAAGGAAUAAAAAGAAAAUGACAUUUGUCCUGUCUAAUCUCUGUACAAUUCCCUUCUCUAAACUCUCGUUCCUCUUUCUUAAAAGUUACUCCAUCCGUUCAUAAGUAUAAUACAUUUUAAGGAAAACACUUCUAAUCAUACAUCUGAUACAUGUCGACAUUGUUGUGGUUGUCAAAGAUAUCCCAUCCAUAUAUUUAAAACUUUGAAAUCUUAUCUUUGACCAUUCAAACUAUUCAUCGUUCACCAAUGUAUGUAUAGUACUGUUGGUCCCUAACCACUAAACUAACAUUGACAUGCUAGGCCCGCAAAAGAAAAUGUUAACAUGUCAGGAUAAGCAAUGGACGUGGUCGCCAUUUCUUAUUAUUGUCUACACAGUAGUGAUUAUGUAUUUUUCUAAAAGAAAACCAAAUAGCAAUCAUGUGGUGUGUCGUGUGUGGCAUCAGGGGGCGGUGCUGGUCAAGGCACCCACAACGUGUUUGAUACUCCCGUUAACAAGAUGUUUUAACUUUUUCAAUAUAGCGGACCAAUCUGUGAUUAGAUAAUUAGAUGGACGAUGAUAUUUUCAGCCCAUUAGGGUUUAAGUCCUGGUGCUAGCAUUAUUUCUAAAUUUAUUUCAGGAUUUUUGGCGAAGCGCUUUUAGUGGGAGGAGACGUUCCCGUCGACGACGAUGCGCCUAAGGUGACUUCGUAAAUUUCAAGAUUAUAUGCCGGCUUAGUCUCUCGAAGGUGCUCAUAGGGGUAGGGUAUGUGUGUGUUCAUAGGGGUGAGUGUAUGCACGUUGUAUGAGCGCUUGCGUCUGUACCAUGUUAAAAAACCUUUUGCGAUUUAGAUGCACCAACAACAUAUUUUAGUAUGUUUGUUCACUUAUUUCAGUCUAUAUUAAAAUGGACAAAUGUUUUCUACGAUAGGGUGUAGUUACCCCACUUUAGUUUUGUAUGUUUUAGAUAGUACCUAUUGGGGUGUAUGUACGCGUAGUAUGUAAUAUAUAUGAAUAUUUACUUACGAGAAUGGACGUUUGGCUCUCGGCCUUCAUGGAAGCCUCUUUUUUAAAACAAAUCAAAAUUCAAUCUUUUGGUUUUAAAAAAAUCUGAAAAAAGUUGUGCAAGUAAACAAGGAUGUUACGUGUAUGUGUGUAAAAUUUCAGGAUAAAAAAUAUUGAAAUGCGACCUGUACAAAAAGGACAAAUUCAGGACCUGGGAGGAUGAAUAGUAUCAUGUGUUAAAAAGCCCCAGAUUUGUCUUUCUUGCACAGCCCUCAUUUCAACUCAUUUUACCCUGAAAAUUUACACACACAUGUGUUAUGCCUUCAUGUAUAUCUGUGUUUUUUCAAAAAAAAAUUGAGACAUAGAAAAUAUGAAAUUUGAUGAAAUUUGAAUUUUUCAAAACAGAGCUCCAUGGAGCUCGGCCUCCAAAGACAAUAUUCGAAUAUUUACGUAGUAUAGAUACUACUAGGACGAAGGGAACCAAAACGUUCGGCCCUGCCUGCUCCCGCGCACGGGGGACGGGUGGGGGGGAGCCUUCCUCGCGCCUCCCCUCCCCCCACCGCCGCUGGUGCGCACUGCCGGUCCAAACCCGGUCAACGUAGGCGGCGGCGGGCGCUUUGGUCCCUUCCUGGUGGCCCGUCGCAACGCGGGAUGUGGCGGCUCCCCCGGAAGACGGAGCUUCUGUGGGGCGUGGUGGCAGCAAGGCGGGCGGUCGCGCCGGCGGCGUGGGCGGCCGCUCGAUCUACGGUAGCUGCAGGAGCUCGGUUGGGUGGAGGCGGUGUGGGCUGUGUGGGCCAGGCUAGUGGUGCACAUCUGCUGAGCUGGAGGCGGGUUGUGGCCCAACCUGAUCUUGCCUCCGGCGGCGCAGAGGGCGCGGGCUGUCUAUGGGGAGGCUGGUGGCCUCCGUCGCUUCCCUGCAGCAGUGGUGCUCGGCAGGGACCGGUGGUUGGUGGUGCUUGCGCAGUGGAUCCAGCUGGGUUUGGGGCGGGUCUCGGUGUGCAGCGCGAUGGCCGAUGGCCUAGGGUAGUGUUGCGGUUCUUCCUGCGGGCGUGGAGAUGGGGCAUGGCUCAGAUGGUGGUGGCCAAGGCCCGGACGGUCUUGACGAAGCUAUGUGUGGGGAGCCGAUGGGGGCGGGGGCGCCGGAUCAGCCGCCUGGUGACAGAGUUGUCGGCUGCCAUGAGUGGCUCCCAUUUGUGUGGGGGCACCGUCCAUCUUCUCCGAGUGCGGUUGCGGGCCAUAGGCCGGUGACGCAAACCUACCGAUGCGGCAGGAGUUUGACGUGGUCCUCCUGCCCGGGGUUGGUUGCUCUUUGCACAAGUUUUGGCUCAAUAUUGCCUUGGAGUCGGGUUGCUCGGUUGUGGGUCGCCUCCGGUGAAGUCAAGGUGGGAGCUUUCGGUUCGGUUGGGGAGGCAUCCUCACAUUGUAUCAUAGGUGCAGGUCUAUGGUGGUGGUGUUCGGGACUGCAUUCUGCCAUUAGUCAGAUCGGUGCUCGAGUCACAGGCUUGGUGUCGUCUGAGCUGCUUGCUCGGUGAUGGUCGUCGGUAGUCAUUGUGUCAUGUCCCCUCCGGACCAUCGGGAUUAUAGGGGAUUACAGGUGUGAGUGCCCCUACGGUGGUGGAGCUGGCCCGGGCUCGGUGACUGAUGUUGGGCUUUUCCUUGUCGCGAUUUGAACAUUGUGAAGCUAGUAGUUGGCGGUGUCUCGUGGCAUGGAUACCGGGGCGGCGGCCUAGGAAGGUGGUCUGCAUGGUUGGAUCUCCGGCGGGCACCAUAAUGGCGGUGGUGGCCGAUGACCCACAAAUAUAGGGGUCAAUCGUAGUCCUUUCGAUAAGUAAGAGUGUCGAACCCAACGAGAAGCAAAAGGAAAUGACAAGCAAUUUUUAGCAAGGUAAUUUCUGCAAGCACUGAAAUUGUCGGUAACAGGUAGUUUGAUGGCAAGAUAAUUUGUAUCGAGCAUGUAACGGUAACGGUAAAUAAAGUGCAGCAAGGUAGCCCAAUCCUUGUGUGGCAAAGGACAUCCCAAAAUGGUCUCUUAUAAUAAGCAAAGCAUAGUUGAGGCCACAGGAGAAUUUCAUCUAGUCAUUUUCGUCAUGUUGGUUUGAUUCGUGUUCGCUACUUUGAUAUGUGGGUGGACCGGUGCUUGGGUGUUGUUCUUACUUGAACAAGCCUCCCACUUAUGAUUAACCCCCUAGAAAGCAUCCGCAACUACGAGAAAAGUACUAAGAUAAAAUCCAACCAUAGCAUUAAACAUUUGGAUCCAAAUCGGUCCCUUGCGGAAUAUCGCAUAAACUAGGGUUUAAGCUUCUGUCACUCUAGAAACCCAUCAUCUAAUAACUACUCCACAAUGCAUUCCCUUAAGCCCAAGGAUGGUGAAGUGCCAUGUAGUCGACAUUCACAUGACACCACUAACAUACAUAUCAUCAAAAUAUCGAACACAUAUCAACUUCACAUGAUUACUUGCAACAUGACUUCUCCCGUGACCUCAAAAACAAAAUUCACUACUCAUAAAUGAUAUUCAUGCUCAAGAUCAUAGUGGGUCUUAAAUAGCAUAAUGGAUCUGAGCAUAUAAUGUUCCACCAAAUAAACCAUAUAGUAAUCAACUACAAGAUGUAAUCAACACUACUAGUCACCCACAGGUACCAAUAAGAGGUUCCGGUACAAAGAUUUGAACAUAAGAGAUGAAACAGGGUUUGAGAGGAGAUGGUGUUGUUGAAGAUAUUGAUGGAGAUUGGCCUCCCAAAGAGGAGAGGGUUGUUGGUGAUGACGAUGGCUUCAAUUUCCCCCUCCGGGAGGGAAGUUCCCCCAGCGGAAUCGCUCCACCGGAGGGGAAAAGUGCUCCUGCCCAAGUUCCGCCUCGAGAUGGCGGCGCUCCGUCCCGGAAGUCCUCUCCUUAAUUUUUCUAGGUCAAAAGACCUUAUGUACCAGAAGAUGGGCACCGGAGGUGGGUUGGACUGACCACAACCCGCCAGGGCGCGCCUGGGGGGCCUGGCGCGCCCUGGCGUCCUUUGGCCAGUAGGUGGCCCCCCUCCGGUAGUUAUUUGCUCUAGUAUUUUUAUAUAUUCCAAAAUAAUUCUCCGUAAAUUUUUAGCUCAUACGAAGAUGUGCAGAAUAGGUAUUUCUGACAUAGCUUUUUCAGGUCUAGAAUUCCAGAUGCCGGUAUUCUCCCUCUUUGUGUAAUCCUUGCAUAUUAUGAGAGAAAAGGCAUUAGAAUUACUCCAUAAAGCACUAUUAUGCACAAAAACAUUAUAAAUAACAGUAGGAAAACAUGAUGCAAAAUGGACAUAUCAGUGGCUAUUUCUCUUGGUCGUCUGGGCGACAAGAGGUAUAGCGGCAGGUGUCUUGGGCGUGCUCUGCCUCUGGCAGUGGCGGCGCCCCGAUCCGAAUCUGGAGUUCUGGACUCGUUCUGCUACUCUUGAAGACCUCGCGAUGGCAUGGGGGAGAUGACGAGCGAAAGCUCUGCGCUUUGUCAUCGUCGACGGCGCCGCUCUCUUCCUGAAGACAUCGUUGUGUUACUCCUCUCCGUGUCUGGGUUCCGGGUGAAAAUCUUUGUCCAUGUGGACUCGACAGUGUCGACGCUUUUGCGCCGUUCUCCCUCCUGGGGGCAUUGUUGUGGAGCUUAGGUGUUUUGGGGUGUAGCGUAGUGGUGUUCUCGGAGCUUCCUGUGUUUUCUUUUGGUUGUGUGGUCGCUUGCCUCUGCGUAAUCCGCGUAUUUGAGGAUAGGCUUUUUAAGAGUGACUCCUCACUAUUUAGUAUCGUUCGACCAUGUACUUUGAUCGGUUGUUGCUUUAUAUAUAAAGCGGGGCAAAAGCCUGUUCCGAGUAUAUAUNNNNNNNNNNNNNNNNNNNNNNNNNNNNNNNNNNNNNNNNNNNNNNNNNNNNNNNNNNNNNNNNNNNNNNNNNNNNNNNNNNNNNNNNNNNNNNNNNNNNNNNNNNNNNNNNNNNNNNNNNNNNNNNNNNNNNNNNNNNNNNNNNNNNNNNNNNNNNNNNNNNNNNNNNNNNNNNNNNNNNNNNNNNNNNNNNNNNNNNNNNNNNNNNNNNNNNNNNNNNNNNNNNNNNNNNNNNNNNNNNNNNNNNNNNNNNNNNNNNNNNNNNNNNNNNNNNNNNNNNNNNNNNNNNNNNNNNNNNNNNNNNNNNNNNNNNNNNNNNNNNNNNNNNNNNNNNNNNNNNAUAUACUACUUCUUAGGUAGUAUGUACCAUAUUUUGAGGAUACUCCUUUUUACAUACAAAUAUGUACGUAUUUCAUAAAUAAAACAAAAGCAAUGGAUCCACUUGCUAUUUUUUCAUAUAAUCGCUUUGGAGUAUCUUGGAUAUAGUGUAUGAAUAUUGUAGGAUCAAAAUAUGUCUAGAGGGGGGGUGAUUAGACUAGUUAACCAAAUAAAACUUAUCCUUUUUCCCAAUUUUAGUUCUAGGCAAGUUUUAGCAAUUCUACCAAGUCAAGCAACAGCCGACACAUGCAAGUCUAAGAGUUGUGCAAUGGAAAGUAAAAGACUUUGCGUAUGAACGUAAAGGAGGGAUUGGAGAAAUCAGAAGCAAUGAAGACACAGUGAUUUUUGGCAUGGUUCUGUAAGGUGGUGCUAUUGUACAUCCACGUUGAUGGAGACUUUAACCCGCGGAGGGUAACGGUUGCGCGAGUCCGCAGAGGGCUCCACCCACAAAGGGUCCACGAAGAAGCACUCUUAUCUAUUCCACCAUGGCUUAUGCCCACAAAGCACUAGCCUCACUCGGGGUAGAUCUUCACGAAUUAGGUGAUCUCCUUGCCCUUACAAACUCCUUGGUUCAACUCCACAUGAUCUUGGAGGCUCCCAAGUGACACCUAACCAAUCUAGGGGACACCAUUCUCCAAAAGGUAAUAGAUGGUGUGUUGAUGAUGAACUCCUUACUCUUGUGCUUCAAAAGAUAGUCUCCUUAACACUCAAUCACCAUGUCACAGAUUUGGCUUGGGUAGGAGAAGGAUUAGAGUGGAAAGCAAAUUGGGGAGGCUAGAAAUCAAGGUUCAAAUGAUUGUAUUGGAAUGCCUUGAUAUCAACACAUGAGUAGGUGGUUCUCUCUCAGAAAAUUAAUGGUGGAAGUGUAAUUUCAUUCUGAUGGCUCUCUUAGAGAGUAAGGGGGGUGGGGUAUAUUUAGCCUUCACCAAGAAUCCAACCGUUACAAUAUUUUGACUCAACUCAGUGACACCAAACCAGAUUCUCGGUGAGGCCGACCCGUGUAAAAGAUUUGAACGAUGGGCUUUUCGGUGAGACCGAUCAAAUCCACUCGGUGGCUUCGAUAUGCAAUGACCUAAGCAAGACAUCAUUUAGAUAAUUCCGAUCGAAACAUCUCGAUAAUUCCAAAAUGGAACCAAUGGGUGACAGAAACUUGGUCACUGCACUUCGGUGGUACCGAAUGUUAUCUCGGUGGAACCGAGUGUCUAGAGUUUGGCCGUGGGUCUGCCUAAGUUAAAUUUGGUGGGUCCGAAAGUAGAUGUAUUAGUGGGAUUGGGUUUGAUAUUUAGGGUUUGGACACAUUGAAUGUGGGAAAGUGGCUGAGGGUUUUGGAGCAAUAUCUUCAAGCACUUGUGCAACUAAGUCAUGAUCAAAACCUCAUCCCUUUUUAAUAGUACUCGCUUUCCUAUGGCCUCAAUGUCAUCUUCGAUCACUUAACCGAAAAUGAAGAGUAUUGGAGCCUUUUGCCAAUAUGCUUCGAUAGCAAUUUGAGGGGUCCACAUCCACAUGUCCUUGCCAUGCCAACAUUGAACUUUCCUGAAAUCUAUCUUUGAAUAGGCAUUAGUUCAAUGACAUAUAUGUUGUUAUUAAUUACCAAAACCACCUGAGGAUUAGUUGCACUUUCAAAUAUACAGAAAAUAAUAUAGUAGCACAUGGUAGUAUAUGAAACUUGGGUGUAACUAAACCCGACAGUAGGAUGUAUUUUCCCAUAUUAAAAUAUGGGAGCCGCUAGGGAUCAAACCACUGAUCCCUGGCUUCCUAUCAAACCAGCUGAAAGCCGUAGGAUUAGGAUCAUGAUGCCUAUUCUAUCUGUACAGAAGCCCCAUGCCUGAUGCACUAGUUUCCUUUGCUAAUUGUCUAGUUCUUCCCCUAUGUUUAGUUGCUUCCUAUUAAUUGUCAUGUAAGUUUAGCUGCACCCUAUUAACAGCUCCCGUAAGUUUAGCUACUUCCUAUUCGCUAACCUCACAAGAUUUUCUUCCCAAAACCGCUUCCUCGAAUGACUUCAAAUAAAUCCCCUUUUUUGUGGAAAUAAUUUCGGAAAGCACAGUUAUUUUGCAUGGUUAAAUACAACAAAUUAAUUAAGUUCUUUCUAAACAUGUGCUCCUUUAUCGGUGGUAGCCAAUUUUUUUUCUACCAUGGAAGCAUUGUUCUUUUUUUUGACAACAUGAAAGCAUUGUUCUUGAUCCAUAGAAGCAUCAUUUUCUGGUGUGAUAGGAACAAACUGUUCGCAUCGCAUGCAACAUUUUUUAUUUUUGAUGAAUACAAUUGUAAGUGCUUUAGAAGCAUCUUUUUCUAGUGAGAUGAUGAAACAUAUUAAUAGCAGAGAAGUAGGGUCGAAGCACAACCACUAGUAGGAAACGGGACAUUAGUCCCGGUUCAUAAGGGCCUUUAGUCCCGUUUAGGCAACCGAGACUAAGGAAUCGGGACUAAAGGCCCCCCUUUUGGUCCCAGUUGUGUUACAAACUGGGACUAAAGGGGCUCCACGUGUCCAUUGUGGAGUGCUCAGGCAGGAGGACCUUUAGUCCCAGUUGGUAACACCAACCGGGACUAAAAGGCCGCCACGCAUCAGGCGCUACCAAGUGCUGGGGUUUAGGGUUUUGGAGCAUUUAAGGGUUUCAUUUUGUGUUCACCAUUCAAUUCUUUUUCAUUUAGCGUUUUCAUUUUCAUUUUAUGUUUUCCAUUCAACUUGACGCUAGCUACUAUAUAUAGCAAUGAAGGAACCAUUAAACAACAUCGUCAUGAAUAUAGAGAAGUGACCUCUUUCUCCGUGCUUGGUCGAAUAACAAGUUUUCGUAUAUAUAUUCGACGCUACUACAUAUAGUAUAUGGUCAUGCAUAUAUACCAUAUAAUAUCUCUUAUGAUCCCUAAUAUAUAAUUACCAAAUUCCCUACUAAUUCCCGAUGGUAUUCUCCGGUUUUAGAUAUGACCUCUUCAAGUAAGAAUCCCGCCAAUUCCUCUUGAAUUUCUCAUAUGCGAUCCUUUGGUAGGAGAUCGUCCCGCAUCCGUUCGAUCUAAUUUAAAGAAGGGGUCAAUAUAUAUGAAUGAAACUCAACACAAUUGAUGGUAAUAAAAUAAAAUUGUGAAUAUUGUUUACGUACUUGAAGUUUUUCUAAAAUUCUGCCCUUCUCACAGGUUGUCUGGCGAAUGAACUCGCAAACGCAGUAUCCACAUUAAUUAUUCCCAUCUCCCUGACUCAAGCACUUUAUGAGAAUAGAGUUCAAUCAAAAUAAUAAUCAAGCAUGAUAAUGGUAUUGAAACUAGAAUCAAAGAGAGAUGCGUAGAACUAGCUAGUACUACUUAUAUUGAGUUUUCGAAAUCGCAGCUUUUCUUUCCAUUCACCCCUAGCUAGCUUGCUGAACUUUUUCCAAACCCUGCCCGACAAAGAAAAUGAAUAAAGGAGUUAUUAAUUACUUGAUAACAGUAAAUGAACGAAAGUUGCCGAUAUAGUGCGAUAAUGAUUGAACUUACCUCUGGAGCAUUUCACUCAGGUCCGCCCACAUCUGAGGGUCUUUACGUUUCGAGUCCAUGACAAGUACUAAUCCAUCGUCAACCUUAAUGACUAGAAGAAUAAAGUGGAACCUGUGCAUGCAUAACUCAUCAGUUACACUUAACAUCGAGUAAGCGAAACAGAAUAUGUACAAGACAAUAACACUCACUUGAAGUUGUAAGGAAAUAGUAAUUCCCUUCUGAUUUGUUGUGCAAUGAACGCCCUUAGCAAGUUAGCUUCUGUUUCCUUGGCAUUAUUUUCUACCAUAUAUUCAUGUAUGUUAUUUGGGUUAAUGAACCCAAUGUCAUAGAUUUGUCCUCUUUUGCAUUAGAGAAUCUUCAUUCUGCAUAAUAUAGUGAGGAUAAUUAUACAUGCAAUCAACGAGCUGAGCUAGAGACUUAACUACAGAAAUAAUACUUACAGACAAUAGCAACUGACGAUAGAUUUGUUGAGGGCGUCUUGAUCAUAUAACUAAAAAAUUCAUCAAAUUCAAUGUACAUCUCCUCGUCUCCACUAAAGUAAUGAUCAUCUCUAAUCCCCACCAUCAUCAUGUUGCUCCCUUCCUUUGAGGCUUCCAUGUAGCACUCAUGCAAUCUUCGCAUUUGUGUUGGUAGAAAUGGAACUCCUCAGGUCUGACAAGAGGCUUCCCGUCCUGGUAUCUGUAUGCUAAAUUAGCCAUGGGGAACUCUACCUGUUCGCCUAAGUAUUGACCAAGAGUGAAACAAAGAUCAUCGGCCUCUACCUCCAGAUCAUAAUCAAUAUCGGUAAACACCUUGAGCGGGGGGCACGAUUGAUUUUUCUGUUCGCCGAGCUGGGGAAUUGUUUUUCCACUUGCACUACUACUUCCCGAACGCUACAGCAGUUCUUUAUGUGACUUAAUAAUAGAGCAGUCAUAGUUUGAUGGCAACGAAGGUAGUGGUCGUGUAAGGUUUUCCAGACAGUGCUUCGCUUUUGUCGGAUCUAUUUUCUCCUUUGGCUUGGGCCGUUUCGUUGCAAGAUGGCGUUUCACAUUGAUACGUCUCCAACGUAUCUAUAAUUUAUGAAGUAUUCAUGCCAUGUUUACAACAAUUUUAUAUGGUUUUGGUAUGAUUUGCAUGGAACUAACCCAGACUAACGCUAUUUUUAGCAGAACUACCGUGGUGUUGUUUUUUAUGAUGAAAUGAAAGUUCUCCAAAUGAGCUGAAACUUUUUGACGGUUUUUUUGGAACAAAAGAGACCCCCGAAGCUUCGUGGGAGUGCCAGAAGAGCCACGAGGAGGGCACAACCCACCACGGAGCGCCAGAGGGGCCUAGCUUGCCCCGGUGGGUUGUGCUCACCUCGAGGCCCAUCUUUGCAUGAAACCGACGCCAAAAAUCCUAUAAAUAGAGAAACCAUCAGAAAUAACCCUAGAUUAGAAGUUCCGCCACCGCAAGCCUCUGUAGCCCAGAAAGACCAAUCUAGACCCCGUUCCAGCACCCUGCAAGAGGGGGAAAUCAUCACUGGAGGCCAUCUUCAUCAUCCCGGCGGCCACCAUGAUGAGGAGGGAGUAGUCCACCCUCAGGGCUGAGGGUUUGUACCAGUAGCUAUAUGUUAAAUCUCUCUCUCUCUCUCGUGUUCUUGAGAUGGCAUGAUCUUGAUGUAUCGCGGGCUUUGUUAAUAUAGUUGGAUCAUAUGGUGUUUCUCCCUCUCUAUCUUGUUGUGAUGAAUUGAGUUUUCCCUUUGAGAUUUUGUUUUAUCGGAUUGAAUACUUUCAUGGAUUUGAGAACAGUUGAUGUAUGUCUUCCUAUGAAUACCUGUGGUGACAAUGGGGUAUCAUAUUGAUUCACUUGAUAUGUGCAUUGGCACUCAACUCGCGGAUUCCCGAGGUGACAUUGCGGUAAUCUAUGCAUAGGGGUUGAUGCAUGAUGACCCACAAGUAUACGGGAUCAGACGUAGUCAUUUUGAUAAGUAAGAGUGUCGAACCCAGCGAGGAGCAGAAGGAAAUGACAAGUGGUUUUCAGCAAGGUGUUUUCUGCAAGCACUGAAAUAGUAGGUAACAAGUAGUUCGAUAGCAAGAUAAUUUGUAACGAGCAAGUAACGGUAAGGGUAAAUAAAGUGCAGCAAGGUAGCCCAAUCCUUUUGUGUCAAAGGACAGGCCAAAACGAUCUCUUAUAAUAAGCAAAGCGUUCUGGAGUGUACACGGGAAUUUCAUCAUAUCACUUUCAUCAUGUUGGUUUGAUUCGUGUUUGCUACUUUGAUAAUUAGAUAUGUGGGCGGACCGGUGCUUAGGUGUUGUUCUUACUUGAAAGAAACUCCUACUUAUGAUUAACCACCUCACAAGCAUCCGCAACUACGAGAAAAGUAUUAAGAUACAAUCUAACCAUAGCAUUAAACUUUUGGAAUAGCGCAUAAACUAGGGUUUAAGCUUCUAUCACUCUCGCAACCCAUCAUCUAAUUGCUAAUCCACAAUGCAUUCCCUGAGGCCAAAAUAUGGUGAAGUGUCAUGUAGUUGAUGUUCACAUGACACCACUAAGGGAAUCACAACAUACAUACUAUCAAAAUAUCGAACACAUAUCAAGUUCACAUGAUUACUUGCAACAUGAUUUCUCCCGUGACCUCAAGAACAAAAGUAACUACACACAAAUAAUAAUCAUGCUCAAGAUUAGAGGGGUAUUAAAUAGCAUAAUGGAUUGGAACAUAUAUUAUUCCACCAAAUAAACCAUAUAAUAAUCAAGUACAAGAUGUAAUCAACACUACUAGCCACCCACAAGCACCAGUCUAAGGUUCGGGUACAAACAUUGAACACCAGAGAUGAACCAGUGUUUGAGAGGAGAUGGUGCUAUUGAAGAUGUUGAUGGAUAUGGCACUCCCAAAGAUGGGAGAGUUGUUGGUGAUUAUGAUGACGAUGAUUUCAACCUCCGGGAGGGAUGUUCCCCCAGCGGAAUCGCUCCGCCGAAGGGCAAAAGUGCUGCUGCCCAAGUUCCGCCUUGAGACAGCGACGCUUCCUCCCGAAAGUCCUCUCCUUAUUUUUUCUAGGUCAAAAUGACUUAUAUACCAGAAGAGGGGCACCGGAGGUGGGCCGAGGAGGGUACAACCCACCAGGGGCCCUGGCGUGCCCUGGUGUCUUGUGCCCCCCUCGGGUGCCUUCCUGGUUGUUUCCUAUUUUCCUAAUUUUUAAAAUAUUCCAAAACUGGCAGAAAAUAUUUUUGUGGAUUUUUUCGAGUCCGUUUACUUACCGUAUCACGUAUCUCCUCCUUUUUAAUUAUUCUGGAGUAUUCCGGAAGGUCUCUUUUAUGUGUUCCUCAGGUGUCAUAGUUUGAAUAAUAUUGCUUUCAACAUUAAUAGGCGUACCUGAAAUAUAUUUUUUAAUUCUUUGCCCAUUGAACACCUUCGGGUUAGUUACCUUCGGCAUUAUUUAUUUUGAUAGCUCCAGAGUGGUAAACCUCUUCGAUGAUAUAACGUCCAUCCCAUUUAGAGAGAUGUUUUCCUGCAAAGAAUCUAGAACGAGAGUUGUACAAAAGAACAUAUUCUCCAACUUUGAAUUACCGCUUUUGGAUUCUUUUGUCAUGCCAUCUUUUAACAUUUUCUUUGGAUAACUUGGCAUUUUCAUAGGAUUGGUUUCUCCAUUCAUCUAGUGAGCUAAUAUCAAAUAACCUCUUUUCACCGGCAAGUUUGAAAUCAUAAUUGAGUUCUUUAAUAUCCCAAUAUGCUUUGUGUUCUAACUCUAGAGGCAAUUGACAAGCUUUUCCAUAAACCCUUUUAUAGGGAGACAUACCCAUAGGAUUUUUGUAUGCUGUUCGGUAGGCCCAAAGUGCAUCAUCCAAUUACUUAGAACAAUUCUUUCGGGACCUAUUAACAGUUUUCUGUAAUAUUAAUUUUAUUUCUCUAUUGCUAAGUUCAACUUGACCACUAGAUUGAGGAUGAUAGGGUGAUGCAAUUCUAUGGUUAACAUCAUAUUUAGCAAGCAUUUUACGGAAAGCACCAUGAAUAAAGUGUGAACCACCAUUAGUCAUUAAAUAUCUAGGGACUCCAAACCUCAGGAAAAUAACUUCUUUAGGCAUUUUAAUGGAAGUGUUAUGACAGCACUACUAGUUGGAAUAGCUUGUACCCACUUAGUAAUAUAAUCAACAGCAACCAAAAUAUGUGUAUACCCAUUAGAGGAAGGAAAACGUCCCAUAUAAUCAAAACCCCAAACAUCAAACGGUUCAAUAGCAAGUGAAUAAUUCAUAGGCAUUCCUUGAUGCUUACCAAUAUUACCAAUUCAUUGACAUUCGACACAAGAUAAAACAAACUUACGGGCACCCUUGAAGAGAGUAGGCCAAUAAAAAUCAGAGUGCAAUACCUUGUGAGCAGUUCUGUCUCCAGCAUGAUGCCCUCCAUAAGCUUCGGGGUGACAUUUUCGUAAGAUUUAUCCUGUUCAUGCUCAGGCACACAACAUCUAACAAUACCAUCUAGUCCUUUAUAAAGAUGUGGGUCAUUCCAAAAGUAAUGUCUUAAAUCAUAAAAGAACUUUUUUCUUUUGUUGGUAUGUGAAACUAGGUGGAAUGUAUUUAGCAACAAUAUAAUUAGCAUAGUCAGCAUACCAAGUAGUGUUAUGAGAACGGCUAGUUGCUCAUCAGGAAAACUAUCAUCAAUAGGUAGUGGGUCAUCAAGGAUAUUCUAUAACCAAGACAAGUUAUCAGCUACGGGGUUCUCUACUCCUUUUCUAUCAGUUAUACGUAAAUCAAAUUCUUGUAGAACGAGAACCCACCUAAUGAGUCUAGGUUUAGCAUCUUUCUUUUCCAUGAGAUAUUUAAAAGCAGCAUGAUCGGUGUGAACAAUAAAUUUAGAAUCAACAAUGUAGGAUCUGAAUUUAUCACAAGCAAACACAACUGCUAAAAAUUCUUUUCAGUGGUAGCAUAAUUUCUUUGGGCAUUGUCUAGAGUUUUUCUAGCAUAAUGAAUAACAUUUAGUUUCUUAUGGACUCUUUGUCCUAGAACAGCACCAAAAGCAUAAUCACUAUCAUCAGACAUAAUUUCAAAAGGCAAGUUCCAGUCAGGCGGUUGAACAAUAGGUGCAGAAGUUAAGGCUUUGUUAAGUGUUUCAAAGGCUUCUACACAAUCUUCAUCGAAAACAAAUGGAACAUACUUUUGUAAAAGAUCUGUAAGAGGCCUAGAAAUUUUAGAGAAGUCUUUAAGAAACCUCCUAUAGAAGCCAGCAUGACCGAGAAAACUACGAAUACCUUUAAUAUCUUUAGGACAUGGCAUUUCCUCAAUUGCAUCAACUUUAGCUUUAUCCACCUCAAUAACUCGUUCAGAAAUUUUAUGUCCCAAGACAAUACCUUCAUUAACCAUAAAUUGGCACUUCUCCCAAUUCAAGACAAGAUUAGUUUGCUCACAUCUCUACAAAACUCGAUCAAGGUUGCUCAAGCAAUCAUCAAAAGAAGUUCCAUAAACAGAAAAAUCAUCCAUGAAAACCUCAACUAUAUUUUCACAAAAAUCAGAGAAUAUAGGAGUCAUACAUCUUUGAAAGUUAGCAAGUUCAUUGCAUAAACCAAAAGGCAUAUGUCUAUAGGCAUAAGUUCCAAAAGGGCAAGUAAAGGUGGUUUUCUCUUGAUCGGGUUGUGAAACAGGUAUUUGAGAAAAACCAGAAUAUCCAUCUAGGAAGCAAAAGUGUGUGUGCUUUGAUAAUCUUUCUAGCAUUUGAUCAAUAAAAGGCAAGGGUAGUGAUCUUUUCUAGUUGCUUUAUUUCACUUUCUAAAAUCAAUAACCAUUCUAUAGCCAGUAACAAUUCUUUGUGGAAUGAGUUCAUUUUUAUCAUAGGAACAACGGUAAUACCUCCCUUCUUAGGGACACAAUGAACAAGACUCACCCAUCUACUAUCAGCUAUGGGAUAGAUUAUACCUGUUUCUAGAAGCUUCAAUAUUUCAGUUCUUACCACUUCUUUCAUCUUAGGAUUCAAACGUCGUUGAUGAUCAACAACGGGUUUAGCAUCAGGUUCCAUAUUAAUCAUGUGCUAACAGAGAGCGGGACUAAUGCCCUUAAGAUCAUCAAGAGUAUAUCCAAUAGCAGCAUGGUGCUUCUUCAGAAUUUUCAGUAAUCUUUCUUCUUCAUGUUCUGAAAGGUUAGCCCUAAUAAUCACAUGAUAUAUCUUUUUCUCAUCGAGAUAAGCAUAUUUUAAAGUGUUAGGCAAUUGUUUUAAUUCAAACACAGGAUCACCUUUAGGUGUUGGAGGACCUCCUAGAGUUUCAAUAGGCAAAAUUUGGUUCUCUUCUUUGCCUCGCAAUAGUAUCGAUUCUUGGAAUAAGUGCAAAGAUGCUUUUAUCACUAACUAUUUUCCUCCCGCAAAAAUUAUUUCCCUUAGAACCCAGGUCAUGAAUUUCAAGCAACUUGAACAUGAGCAUGUUGCAAAAUCUUUGGAGAGGAUGAAAAAGAUGCUAAUGAAUUGCCCAACUCAUGGGUUAAAUCUUUGGAUGAUCAUACAAUUUUUUUAUGCGGGAUUGAAUUUUGUUUCUCGUAAUCUUUUAGAUUCCGCCGCGGGUGGUACUUUUAUGGAAAUUACUUUGGGAGAAGCCACCAAAUUGCUUGAUAUCAUGGCAAAUUAUUCACCAUACCGACAGGGCUCCUACUAGUAAAAAAGUAAAUUCGGUAGAAGAAAUUUCUUCUUUCACUGGUACAAUGACGUGCUAAACAAACGGUUUUUAACCCCUUUCGGCGACGGCAUUUGGAACCGUCGCCAAGUGAGCAUGUGCGAUAGGGUGUCCUUCCCACACGACCCAGAAAUCAUCGGGGAUAGGCCCUCCUAGGACCUAGGCUGGGGCCGUGUGUGUUCGGGCGAGGCAUCGAAACCCAAUCAUUUCCGUAGGUAUGUACAUCCCACACGGUGAAUCCUAGAAAAUCAUUUCCGUAGGUAUGUAAAUCCCACACGGUGAAUCCCAGAAAAUCAUUUCCGUAGGUAUGUACAUCCCACACGGUGAAUCCCGGAAAAUCAUUUCCGUGGGUAUGUACAUCCCACACGGUGAAUCCUAGAAAAACAUUUCCAUAGGUAUGUAUAUCACACACAGUUCUUUGUGUGGAAAUGUUUGUGCAAGGUGGCCUAACGCAAACAGUUCGCUGCCAGAAGCCGUGUGUGAUUGUUAGUUGAUCGAACACGCCUACUUCCUAGAAACCGUGCGGGUUGUUUGAGUUCAUCGCCCACGGUGCUGUUUGAGUAACCGUUUGCAAUAGAAAACCCCAAUAAGCAGGGUAAUUAGCCUAUUAUUGAUAAUCCAUGUACUAAUCAAACUGAUAUUUCUUAUAAAACACGCGAGAUAUUUCAUAUCCGUAUAAAAGCAACCAGGAUUUCAUAAUCGAAUUACAUCAGAUAGCUUCGGCACUCAGCUACGCCAUUACAUAACAGCACCAAGUUUCACAUGCAGCAUCAAAAACCUUUGGAAAGUAGCAUCACACACGGUAAAUAGACAGAUGAAUCUCAUCUGGGAAACUGCAGAAGCGGAAGGGAAAUAUUGAGCCUUCAGUGAUGUUGAAUUUCCUUGCAACUUUAGGCCAGUGGCUAUGGAUAAUUGCCCGCCCAACCUUCGUCCUCUUCAGCAAGACUUCAAUAUUGUACCGUGGGUGUUGAAUGAAUACCUUCCUCGCCUCUUGACCAUGCAGGUGGUUUGAGAGGUAAUCAUCGGUGAACUGCUUUGAAAAGUACUGAAAACAAAGCUAUGCAUAAAUCACUGUUGUAAAUUUUGAAAUGGCGCAAGUGGUAAAAACAAGGUAAAAGAGUUGGUACCAUCCUAUAGUUGACUGAUGUCUUCUCCAUUGUGCAAACAAAGAUCUCGCUGUUAUUCAUCGCAAGUUUCUUCAUCCUAACAAUCUUUCUGAGUUUCUUGACUUGACUAAUAUUCAUGGACAUCUCAUUUCCCCAUAUGCAAAAUGGGUCGAAUAGUGUGUCUAAGCCUCUGACAGCAGGACAUAUAUGUGCAAGACCAAAUUGUAAGAAACCUAAAUAUUAGAAUGAUUCCUGCAACUGCACAAUAAUGUGCUAUUAGCCAAAGGACCCUUCUUGAACAAACCUCGAUGGUAAACCGCAGUGUCUCCUAUUGUUUCCCUGCAACACACAUAAGGAAGAUCUUGACCAGGUUAACUGAGAGUUGCCAUACUAUCAGUAGAAUAUGUAUUGAGUAAGGCCAAAUUCGAUUGGUGUCACAUGCAUAACAAUACAAAAUUGUACCCACAGCAAAUGAAAAUCAAAUUGCAGAACUGAACCAAACAGUUAAAUGGACAGCAGACCUAAUGAACCAAAAUAGUUAACUGAGCACGACAUUGCAGAAUAGUAACAUGUACUAGAAGAUAAGACAGUUAACAAAACAAAGAAUGCUUGAGAACAGUACUACAAAAUGUAGCAAUUGUUGGACCAAAGUGUUGACUGAACAUUACAUUCUAGAGGACCAAACUGUUAACUGAACAUCAGAUUGCAUAUUAACAUUAUAGAGGACAAAUCACUAGAAGGCACUGGCGGUGGCCUCGAGAAAACAUCACGAACAGUAUUUUACAGUAGACAACCGCGUGGCGGUGUCGACGGUGGCCUCGAAGACAAGGUGCUCCUCCAAGAUCUGGCGGUCGACACGCAUGGCAGCCAUAGCGAGCUCGUUUGCGAGUGCGGCCGCAUGCUACUCAGCUCCACGUUAUACUACGUGUAAAAUGGUUGUGAGCGGCGCUUAAUUGGAGGAGGGGGUAGUGAAUUUGGUGGAAGGUGUUACUCCGCCGGUCGGGGCAUGUGGGACGGGAAAGGAGGAGGAUGGUGUGGGUGGGGUGUGGAUUACCUGACCAUAUCGACGAGGCCGCGCAGCAAGAAGAAGGGUCGGCGGCGAGGAGGCCGCGCAGCAAGAAGAAGGGUUGCCGGCGAGGAGGCGGCGCUGCAAGAAGAAGGGUCGCCGGCGAGGAGGCUGAGCUGCCAGUAAGCAGCAGUGAAGGUUUGAACUUGUAAAGCAAGGAGGAAUAGUGGAAAUGUGGCUUUUGGUAGGAGGGAGGGGGUGGGGAGAUAGAUAUUUCCAUGGUGGCAAAAAAAAUCACUCGGUGCCGCGAGAAACUGGCGCGUAAGUGUGGUUCAAGCGAGGGCGGUGGACUGUAGACAACGAAGCUUCCUGCUUAAGCCAGACAAGACGGUGCGCCAAGAUAUUUUAUAUCGCAUCCCACACGAUUCUUUCUUGUAAACUGUUUGUGGUAUACCUGAUUUUUUUCAUUAUGUUUCGAAAGACAAAAUGGUAUUACAGAGGGAAAGGAUGGUGUUUGAAUUGCUAGAACAUUUACGUACAGUGAACAUGCAACUAGUACAUGAGUGUCCUGUUUAAAUUUGGAAUUAUUCCAUGUUUGUUUGGCAUUUUUAUGCAUUAAUUGAGUUUCUGGGCAUUUAAUGUGCAUAAUUCAAAUUUGAACUACAAGCACAUGCUCCAAUGCACGAAAGUUUGCUGAAAAAUCACAUGUGUGUCUUUGGGUGAAUUUAUAGGUCCCAUGCAAGAAAUGGGAAUAAAAUUCAAACAUCUAGGUGUCGUGGCUCGGCCGGAAAGAUUGAGAAACUUGGUUUUUUAAUUCCUGUAAAUCCAAAACACGGCUGAAAAUCAUGAAACUUGGCAUGGUGUCAUGACAUGGCACCAUGCUGCAGUAUUUUUUUGGCCGAAUUAGGACAAGCUUUGGUGUAAGCUUCUUGCAAACCGGAGCUUCCCUCAAGAAGGCUCUAGGUUCCGAGAUGGAACGUGUCACCUCCGUGUGCGAAACGACAUACAUACACUGCCUUCUCCCGCCUUAAUUUUUGUACACUGACAGAUUAGAUCAAAUAGAAGUACCGUGCUAAAUUUUGGAAUUAUUCCGGGUUUGUUUGGCCUUUUUUAUACAUUAAUUGAGUUUCUGCGCAUUUAAUGUGCAUAAUUCAAAUCUGAACUACAAGCACAGGCUCCAGUGCACCAAAGUUGUUUGAAAAAUCACAUGUGUGUCCUUGGGUGAAUUUCUAGGUCCCAUGCAAGAGGUGGGAGUGAAAUUCAAACAUCUGGGCAUCGUGGCUUAGCCGGACAGAUUGAGAAACUUGGUUAUUUAAUUCAGUUAAAUCCAAAACAUGCCUGAAAAUCAUGAAACUUGGCAUGGUGUCAUGACAUGGCACCAACAUGCUGCAGUAAUUUUUUUGGCCGAAUUGGGAAAAGCUUUGGUGUAAGCUUCUUGCAAACCGGAGCUUCCCUCAAGAAGGCUCGUGGUUCUGAGAGGGAACGUGUCACCUCCGUGUGCCAAACGACAUACGUACACUGCCUUCUCCCGCCUUAAUUUUUUUACACAGGCAGAUUAGACCAAAUAGAAGUACCGUGCUAAAUUUUGGAAUUAUUUCGGGUUCGUUUGGCCUUUUUUAUACAUUAAUUGAGUUUCUAGGCAUUUAAUGUGCAUAAUUCAAAUUUGAACUACAAGCACAGGCUCCAGUGCACCAAAGUUGUUUGAAAAAUCACAUGUGUGUCGUUGGGUGAAUUUCUAUGUCCCAUGCAGGAGAUGGGAGUGAAAUUCAAACAUCUGGGCAUCGUGGCUUGGCCGGAAAUAUUGUGAAACUUGGUUUUUUAAUUCUUGUAAAUCCAAAACACGCCUGAAAAUCAUGAAACUUGGCAUGGUGUCAUGACAUGGCACCAACAUGUUGCGGUAAUUUUUUUGGCCGAAUUGGGACAAGCUUUGGUGUAAGCUUAUUGCGAACCGGAGCUUCCCUCAAGAAGGCUCGUGGUUCCGAGAGGGAACUUGUCACCUCCGUGUGCGAAACGACAUACGUACACUGCCUUCUCCUGCCUUAAUUUUUUUACAUAGGCAGAUUUGACCAAAUAGAAGUACCGUGCUAAAUUUUGGAAUUAUUCUGGGUUCGUUUGGCCUUUUUUAUACAUUAAUUGAGUUUCUGGGCAUUUAAUGUGCAUAAUUCAAAUUUGAACUACAAGCACAGGCUCCAGUGCACCUGUUUAAAAAUCACAUGUGUGUCCUUGGGUGAAUUUCUAGGUCCCAUGCAAGAGAUGGGAGUGAAAUUCAAACAUCUGGGCGUCAUGGCUCGGCCGGAAAGAUUGAGAAACUUGGUUUUUUAAUUCCUGUAAUUCCAAAACACGCCUGAAAAUCAUGAAACUUGGCAUGGUGUCAUGACAUGGCACCAACAUGCUGUGGUAAUUUUUUGGCCGAAUUGGGACAAGCUUUGAUGUAAGCUUCUUGCAAACCGGAGCUUCCCUUAAAAUGGCUCGUGGUUCCGAGAGGGAACGUUUCACCUCCGUGUGCGAAACGACAUACGUACACGGCCUUCUCCCGCCUUAAUUUUUUUACAUAGGCAGAUUAGACCAAAUAGAAGUACCGUGCUAAAUUUUGGAAUUAUUCCGGGUUUGUUUGGCCUUUUUAUACAUUAAUUGAGUUUCUGGGCAUUUAAUGUGCAUAAUUCAAGUUUGAACUACAAGCAUAGGCUCGAGUACACCAAAGUUGUUUGAAAAAUCACAUGUGUGUCCUUGGGUGAAUUUCUAGGUCCCAUGCAAGAGAUGGGAGUGAAAUUCAAACAUCUGGGUGUCGUGGCUCGGCCGGAAAGAUUGAGAAACUUGGUUUUUUAAUUCCUGUAAUUCCAAAACACGCCUGAAAAUCAUGAAACUUGGCAUGGUGUCAUGACAUGGCACCAACAUGCUGCGGUAAUUUUUUGGCCGAAUUGGGAGAAGCUUUGGUGUAAGCUUUUUGCAAACCGGAGCUUCCCUCAACAAGGCUUGUGGUUCCGAGAGGGAACUUGUCACCUCCGUGUGCGAAACGACAUACGUACACUACCUUCUCCUGCCUUAAUUUUUUUACACAGGCAGAUUAGACCAAAUAGAAGUAUCGUGCUAAAUUUUGGAAUUAUUUCGGGUUCGUUUGCCUUUUUAUACAUUAAUUGAGUUUCUAGGCAUUUAAUGUACAUAAUUCAAAUUUGAACUACAAGCACAGGCUCUAGUGCACCAAAGUUGUUUGAAAAAUCACAUGUGUGUCCUUGGGUGAAUUUCUAGGUCCCGUGCAAGAGAUGGGAGUGAAAUUCAAACAUCUGGGCCUCGUGGCUCGGCCGGAAAGAUUGAGAAACUUGGUUUUUUAAUUCGUUUAAUUCCAAAACACGCCUGAAAAUCAUGAAACUUGGCAUGGUGUCAUGACAUGGCACCAACAUGCUGUGGUAAUUUUUCUGUCCGAUUUGUGAAGUGUGAAGGCGCACACAUUAACAAUCAACAAAGUCAUUUUGGAACAAGUGUUAUCACAUUACAAAUCGGAAAAACAAGUAUUAUUGAAACCGUGGGUGUUCUACUUACCAAUUACAUGCGGCCACGCGUCCCCUUUUUUAUUGGCUAGGAGGUGCCGUUCGGGGUAGCUAUUUGAGUACGAGAGGCGUGUGAUCAGACCCCUGCGCGUGCUCAUCGGGAGGAGAGCUCUUUGACCGCUACCCGUCGCACACCUCCGUCCCAACGUCUCCAUUAAUGGCGUCCGAGCACCUGUUCUACUGCAUGGCUAUAUGUCUCACUGGGCUGAGAUUUAAGAGAGAAAAACGAAAAUCUGAAAAAGAAAGUUUUGCACGGAUCUUGAUGUAAGAUCCGACGGACCUAUAUAGCAUCGAGUGCGACUUAUAGCAAGCAUGAUGAAUAUAAGGACGAGACACUGGAUAAUAAUUGUCUUACAUAUUUAGAAACAUAAUUAAAAAAAAGCCACAUGCGGCAACACCCGAAAUACACAAGGGAAAAAGAAGAAGGAAGACAACGAUCUGGCUCGCUGAUCUCUACUUUCUUGAUGCUUUGCUGCAGGCCGUGGGAACUAGUCUCUGCGGCGAGCGGCGAGGAGCUCUUUCUUGUCCUCAAGAUGCUUCUUGAGAGCAUCCAUGGAUUCCUCCACCAGCCUUCUGCGCUCGAUGCGCAGCAUGGCAUUCUCGACCAUAAGUUUCUCGACGAUGACGCCGGUCCUCUUCAACAAGGCAGUGGUCAGCUCCUGCUGCUCCGCACUUCCGACGAUCUUCGCCCUUAGCAGGUCACGCGAGGCUUGGAGCUUCGCAUUGCUCUCGUUUAGUUGUCGGAUGAUGUUGGUAGACUGUUCAAACGAGGCUUUCGGGUCAUUCUGCAACCUCGCCCACUUGGAGAUCUGAUCCAUCUGCCUAAGGACGAGGGCACGCAUGCGCCUGUAAGAGUCCUCGCCUGCCCGCGAGACAUAUUCCCAGGCCGCCGUGGCACGGGAGGACAUCUUUGCUGCAUUCGCGGCGCGUCGGGACAUCUCUUCUGCUUCCACGGUGCGGCCGGACCAGUCUGCUGCAUCGACAGUCCGGUGGGAUCUCCGUGCUGCUUCGGCGCCGCGGUGGGACCUCUCUGCUGCUACGACCGUGCAGCGGGACAUGUUGGUUGCUUUCGCGGCGAGGCGGGACAUCUAUUGUGCUUCCGCUUCCAGGCUCGCCUCUCCCUGGUGGCAAUCUCUCGACCCAGAACUCACGCUGGUCAUGGAGGACGCAAGGGAACGAUGAUGAAUGACUUGUUUGUUUUUGACUUUUUGUGGAUGUGGAGUUGAGGAGGAAUGUGCAGUCAUCUUGGAGUAGUAGUAUUUAUAACCGCAUAGUAAUACACUCCUAAGUGGGAACCGUUUAGGUUUUGAUUGAUGUGAACAGGUUUGCAAUUUGGAAUGUGACGGGACGCGGCCUCCCUGUUCUUCUAAAAAAAUUGUGACGGGAGGCAUGCUCAAAAUUUACUGACGGUUAUAAGUGCGGCACUAUUCCCGAAAGGCGUAACGUGGGCACGUACGCCUUCUUGGCCGCGUACGUGGUGUUUGCACCAUAGGGUGCACCGCAAUAGGCAAUGUCAGCACACGUCUUGUUCCAACAAUCGUGCGCGCUUGUUAUUACCAUCGCGCACGCUUCUUUUAAUUAGAAUGUGUGUGCCCGUCUAGCGCACACACGUUGAUCUAUCUAACUGUUUCAGUUUGUUGUGGCUAAUCGCAAACAGUUCAUCCAUGUGAAGUGUAUGCCAUCAAUCGCAGACACAUUGAUCUACCUAACCCAUUUCUGUUCUGUUUCCUAAUCGCAAACAGUUAAUCCUUCUGAAAGCCCUCAAUCACACACACCUUGAUCUGGCUGACCGUUUCUUUUGUGUUUCCUAAUCACAAACAGUUCAUUCGAGUGAACCGUAUGCUCUAUAUCGCACACGCCUUCAUCAGGCUGCCCGUUUCUUUUGUUCCGCCUCAUCACAAACAGUUCAUUGGACUGAACCAUAUGCCCUGGAUCGCACACGCAACUAAAAUCUAAACCGUGUUUGGUGGCUCCGCCAUCGCAAAUGUUUUUCACCUUUUUGACGGUUCUUUUACACCACCGUUUGCGAUUAUUGCAUCGCACACAGUUUCGUCCCAGGGUCUCUGAUCGUAGUGUCGCGUUAGCAGCAUCCUGCAGUAGUGUUUGAGUGAAAAAAUUGAUGCUCUUAUGAAAUUGGUUGCUAGUAAAAGUGCUCCUAUUUAUUUUAAUGAUAUGCCUUUGUCUACUUUGAUUGAGCAAAAUAAUGAUGCCAUAGAUGUGAAUUUUAUCUCUCGAAGUAAUUUCAAUAACAAUGCUUAUAGAGGUAAUUUUUAUCCUAGGACUUUUCCUAGUAAUUCCUAUAAUAAUUAUGGUAAUUCUUAUGGAAAUCAAUCUUAUAAUAAUAGGAACACCUCUGAUCUUGAUAAUAAUAUUAAAGAAUUUAUCAAUACACACAAAGUUUUCAACACCUCUAUAGAAGAAAAGUUGAGUAAGAUUGGUGAUUUGUCUAGAAGUGUUGAUAGAAUUGCUCAUGAUGUGGAAAAUCUCAAGAUGAAAUUUUUUGUGCCUAAAGUAUAUGAAUCAAUUUGUUUCUAUGGAUGAAAGUACGAAAAGAACCGCUAUGCUUAGAGCUAAAAGAGAUAUUUUAGAAAAAGCUUUUUCUACUGAUUUCUUUUGCAAAAGUGAUGAAGAUCUUAAAAUGAUUGGUGUUUCUUAUAUUGAUUCCUUGUUUAGUAAAGUUAAGAUUGAUGAAAAAGGUACUGGAGAAGAUUCAACUUUAGGUAGAAGGAGUCCCAAUAUUUCGGAGGGUGAAAAUCUUGUUGAGAAAAUUGAUGAAAGUGGGUUUGGAGAGGUCAAAACUUUAACUAGUGAUGCGCCCACUCUUUUGGAUUUCAAAGACUUUAAUUAUGAUAGUUGUUUUUUGAUUGAUUGUAUUUCUUUGUUGCAAUCCAUGAUAAAUUCACCCCAUGCUUAUGAAAAAAUAAAAGCUUUUACUAAACAUAUUGUUGAUGCUAUGAUGGAAGAUUUUGAAGAAAAAUUGGAAUUGGAAGUUUCAAUUCCUAGAAAAUUGCAUGAUGAAUGGGAACCUACUAUCAAAGUCAAGAUUAAAAAUUAUGAGUGUUUUGCUUUGUGUGACUUGGGUGCUAGUGUUUCUACAACUCCGAAAUCUUUAUGUGAUGUGCUUGGUCUUACUAAUCUUGAAGAAUGUUCUUUGAAUUUCCACUUGGCGGAUUCUACUAUUAAAAAUCCUAUGGGAAGAAGCAAUUAUGUUCUUAUUCUUGCAAAUAGUAAUUAUGUGCUCAUAGAUUUUAUUGUUCUUGAUAUUGAUUGCAAUCCGUCUUGUCGAAUUAUUCUUGGUAGACCUUUUUACGCACUAUCGGUGGCGUGAUUGAUAUGAAAGAAGGCAAUAUUAAGUUCCAAUUUCCUUUGAGGAAGGGUAUGGAAAACUUUCCUAAAACAAUAAUUAAGCCACCUUAUGAAUCAAUCAUGAGGGCAUCUUAUGGAUCAUGAACCAAGAUGACAAAACUUAGAUCCUUACUUUAUGCCUAGCUAAGGGCGUAAAACUAUAGCGCUUGUACGGAGGCAACCCAAUGAAUAAAUUUUAUUUUUGCUUUCUGCUUUCUGUUCUUGAGUGUGAGAAAAAUUAUGCUACUGUUAUGAUUUUGUUUUGUGUGUUUUAAUUAGUGUUUGUGCCAAGUAGAACCGAUAGGAUCUUCUUGGGUGAUAGUUGUUUGAUCUUGCUGAAAAAGACAGAAACUUUGCGCUCACGAAAAUAAUUCUCAUUUUUUAUCAGAAAGUGCUUUUGCACUGAUUCUUUUCGCAGAAGAUUAAUAUACAAAUUGCUCAGGUCGUCCUAUUUUUUCAGAAUUUUUGGAGUUCCAGAAGUUUUCGACAAAGUCAAAUUUCUACAGACUGUUCUGUUUUGACAUAUUCUAUUUUCUUUGUGUUGUGUGCUUAUUUUUAUGGCUCUAUGCUUUUCUUUGAUGAGUUUUUGCCAUAGAAAUUUGGAAUAUAGUAGAUAUAAUACAAAAACAAAAUAUGAAUUGGUUUGAUACAGUACUUAUAUUAGUGGUUUGCUUUAUUGCACUAACGGAUCUCACGGAGGUUUUGUUGAGUUUUGUGUGAUUGAAGUUUUCAAGUUUUGGGUUAUCUUACGAUGGAUGAAGGAAGGAUAAAAGAGCCUAAGCUUGGGGAUGCCCCGACAUCCCAAGCUAUUAUCCAAAAAUGAGCAACCAACUAAGCUUGGGGAUGCCCCCGGGUGGCAUCCCCUCUUUCUUCUAACGACCAUCGGUAUUUUACUCGAAACUAUAUUUUUAGUCGUCACAUGAUAUGUGUUUUGCUUGGAACGUCUUGUAUGAUAUGAAUCUUUGCUUGUUUUAUUUUGUGUUUUAAGUCAUCAAUCCUUCCUGGACAGACCUAUUUGAGAGAGCCAAAAUUAUGUCAUGACUUGUUAGAAUUGCUCCCUAUGCUUCACUUAAAUUUUUAUGAGCUAUGGACUUGCUCUAGUGCUACACUUAUAUCUUUUUGAGCAUGGUGUGCUUUAGUAUUUUUCAAGAAAUUGUCUCUUGCUUCACUUCAAAUAAUUUGAGAGACAGAAAAAAAUUAUGCUCAUGAUCUUCACUUAUAUUUGUUUGAGCUUAUGAAAAGCAACAUAUGAAAAUUAGUCCCAAAGUGAUAGAUAUCCAAGAAGGAUAUAAUAAAAACUUUCAUGAAGAUCAUUGGACAAAAUAAACUUGACUCUUAGUAAUAGUUUUGAGAUAUGAUGAUGUGAUAUGUGAGUUAUGUUGAUGAGUAAUUAUGCUUUAGUAAGAAUAUUGGUGUUAAGGUUUGUGAUUCCAUAUGCAAGUACGAAAGUCAAUAGUCAUGCAAUGAAAUUGUAUCCUACUUGUGGUCCAUUAUUCGGUGUUAUUUAUGCUUAAUGCUUGCUUAUGAGAUUAUCCGUUUCUUGGUUGGUCGCUUCUCAAUCUUUUGCUAGCCUUCAUUUUGCACUAAGUAUGAUCUCUACUUGUGCAUCCAAAAACCUUUAAACUAGUUUUGCCACAUGGGUCCACUAUAUCUACCUAUAUGCGGUAUUCUUUUGCCGUUCUAAGCAAAUUUGCAUGUGCUAUCUCUAAUUUUCAAAAUGAACUUCUCUUUUGUGUAUUUGUUUUGCUCGCGGAGCGGUGAGGGGUGGCUAAUAUUUUCCAUGCUAGAUGUGUUAUUCUCACGAUGAGUGUUUAUUGACUUGUCAUUGCACGAGUAAGGCAAAGGUAUUAGGGAUGCCCAGUCCUGAAAUGUUAAAAAAUGAAUUUACUUUAUGUUGUCAAAUAAUAAUUCCUUGGAAAGUGUUGGUUUGGAGGGCACCCGUGGAUACGGUUAGCCAUGGAAAGUGAAAGUACGGUGGAAAAAGGAAUAAACUUUAUUUUCUGUUUGGGAACCGGCUAUGAUAUAUCUAGCAUGGAAAGUGUUGGGAACUCUAAGUCGUUUUCGUUAGUGGGAUGGAUACACCUCCCAAAAUGUUUUUAUCUCUAAGUUUUUCGCUUUGAGCUCUGGCACCUCUACAAAUCCCUACUUCCCUCAGCGAAGGGCCUUUCCUUUUACUUUAUGCAAUUUUUAUUUUUUUGAGUCUCCAUCUUCUCUUAUAAAAGCACCAACUAGGAGGCAAUAUGAUUGUACUUAAGUAUUGGGUGUAGCUAAUAUUCGAGUGUGUUUCAUGAAUGGAUCAAUGGUUGAGCAUGAUGGGCUAGGGGUAACUUAUUUUAGCGUUGAUAUUUUGAAAGACAUGGUUGCUUGUUGAUAUGCUUGAGUAUCUAAAUGAUCAUGUCAAAACUAGACUAUUGCUUUGAACAACUAAAAGUCCAAAUGUCCAUGCUAUGAAGAAAAGAAAUAUGAUAUGACAUGUUAGGCAGCAUUCCACAUCAAAAAUUCUGUUUUAUCACUUACCUACUCGAGGACGAGUAGGAGUUAAGCUUGGGGAUGCUGAUAAGUCUCCAACGUAUCUAUAAUUUUUUAUUCUUCCAUGCUGUUAUAUUAUCAAUCUUGGAUGUUUUAUAGUCAUUUUAUAUCAUUUUUUGGUACUAACCUAUUGGCAUAGUGCCAAGUGCCAGUUGCUGUUUUUUCCAAGUUUUUUACAUCGCAGAAAAUCAAUAUCAGACGGAGUCCAAAUGCCCCGAAACUUUACAGAGAAUUUUUAUGGGCCAGAAGGAACACAACGGGCACUGGCUGCGCCUGGGGUGCCCCGAGGGGGGCACAACCCACCAGGGCACGCCAGGAGGCCCAGCGCCCUGGUGGGUUGUGCCCACCUCGGGUGCCCCCGGACCGCCUCUUCGCUCUAUAAAUACCCCAAUAUUCCAGAAACCCUAAAGGCAAUCGACGAAAUAUUCAUCCAGCCGCCGUAGAGUCCAGAACCACCAGAUCCAAUCUAGACACCAUCUCAGAUGGGGUUCACCACCACCAUUGGUGCCUCUCCGAUGAUGCGUGAGUAGUUCUUUGUAGACCUUUGGGUCUGUAGUUAGUAGCUAGAUGGCUUUCUCUCUCUCGCUGGAUUCUCAAUACAAUGGUCUCUUGGAGAUCCAUACGAUGUAACUCUUUUGUGGUGUGUUUGUUGGGAUCUGAUGAACUUUGAGUUUAUGAUCAGUUAUAUCUUUUUAUAUCCAUGAAAGUUAUUUGAGUUUCUUUGAUCUCUUAUAUGCAUGAUUGCUUAUAGUCUCGUAUUUCUUCUCCGAUAUUUGGGUUUUGUUUGUCCAACUUGAUCUAUUUAUCUUGCAAUGGGAAGAGGUGCUUUGUAGUGGGUUCGAUCUUAUGGUGCUUGAUCCGAGUGACAGAAAGGGAACCGACAUGUAUGUAUCGUUGCUACUAAGGAUAAAACGAUGGGGUCUAUCUAUACAUAGAUAGACCUUGUCUACAUCAUGUCAGUGUUCUUAUUGCAUUACUCCAUUUCUCCAUGAACUUAAUACAUUAGAUGCAUGCUGGAUAGCGGUCGAUGUGUGGAGUAAUAGUAGUAGAUGCAGGCAGGAGUCGGUCUACUAAUCUUGGACGUGAUGCCUAUAUAAUGAUCAUUGCCUGGAUAUCGUCAUGAUUAUUCGAAGUUCUAUCAAUUGCCCAACAGUAAUUUGUUUACCCACUGAGGGAGUCCUGCAUUAGGGGGUCCCCGGGCGUCCGGGCUAUGUGACAUGGGCCGGACUGAUGGGCCGUGAAGAUACAAGAUAGAAGGCCUUCUCCCGUGUCCGGAUGGGACUCUCUUUUGCGUGGAUGGCAAGCUUGGCAUUCAAAAGUUUCCUUUCUCUGUAAACCGACUCUAUACGACGCUAGGUCCCUCCGAUUUCUGUAUAAACCAGAGGGUUUAGUCCAUAGAGGCAAUCAUAAUCAUACAGGCUAGACAUCUAGGGUGUAGCUGUUACGAUCUCGAGGUAGAUCAACUCUUGUAACCCCUAUACUCAUCAAAGUGAAUCAAGCACGAAAUAGGGUAUUACCUCCGUUAAGAGGGCCCGAACCUGGGUAAACACCGUGUCCCUUGUCUCCUGUUACCUUCGAUACUCAGACGCACAGUUCGGGACCCCCUACCCGAGAUCGGCCGGUUUUGACACCGACGUUGGUGCUCUGUGUCGUCGACAGAAGGCUCGAUGGCUCGUUCGAUCAUCGACAACGAUGCCGUUUCCGGGGAAGUUUUCCUCCCCGGCCAGAUCUUUGUAUUCGGUGGCUUCGUUCUACGUGCGAACUUGAUUGGCCACCUCGAACAGAUCGACAGCUAAGCCCCUGGUCAUCAGACCCGUUUCGGGAACCUAAAUUAUGUUGCUAAUAUCCGAGGAGACUUGAUCUUCAAAGGGUUCGCGGCCCCCACCACGGCUCUGGCCUCAGAUCCGGAGCCAACCACCAGAUCAGAAGAAGGGAGUUCGGAACCCACCGGACUCUCCAUUGCAAAUCACCUUAUCGAGGAUCCGGAGGCAAAUAUGUCCACGAUGAACUUGGAAUCAGUCCAGGACGCCCCUAUCAUUGAAAGGCCGGACUCGCCCCCGAACUCCAGAUCCGAACUCUCGGAGUCCGCGCCAAGUAGGCAGGGUCAGGAGGCUCUCACAUCGGCCAGCCCCGCGGACCCACGCAUCCACGUCCAAACCUCGCUCUUAAACGAGGAUCUGGACCUAAUGCGAUCAUUCGCCAUUACAGAGGAAUCGCCUCCGAACUUCGCUCAGCCCGGACUAGGGGCUGAAAGCAGGGAAUUUUACGUCCCACCCACCACCCACUUCAUAGCCGUUGUCGAAGAUUUAACUGACAUGCUGGACUACGCCUCCGAAGGCAUCGACGACAUGGACGACAAUGCCGGAGACGAACACGGCCAAGACCCGCUAUCUACCGGACGUUGGACGGCCACCUCCACAUAUGAUGUGUAUAUGGCGGACACACCCAAAGAGGAUGACGACGAUGGCAAGAAGGAUCCGGUUGAGGACAAGCCUUCUGAAGCACCUCCAAAGCGUCGACGUCAGCGGCGCCGCUUAAAAUCGCCUCGCGAAAAAGUCAGCAAUACCGACACCGGAGACAAUAACACUCCGGAGAAUGCCAAAGACCCCGAAGCCCGUGUCGAGCCAACAUCCGAACAUGAUGAUUGGGAGGAUGGGCAAGUUAACCCCGACGAUUCGGUCGGGAACAAGGACUCGGAGGAUAGUAACUAUCUACCGAUCUCCGAGGAGGAUGUGAGCCUCGGCGACAAAGACUUCAUCGUGCCAGAGGAACCCCUCGAACAAGAGCGCUUUAAGCGCCGGCUAAUCGCCACUGCAAGAAUCCUAAAAAAGAAGCAACAGUAGCUUCAAGCUGAACAGGAUACACUCAAUCAUAGAUGGACCAAAGUCCUGGCAGCCGAGGAAUACAGCCUCGAAUGCCCAACUAAGAGCUACCCGAAGCGCAAGCUACUACCACAAUUUGACGACGAGGUCCUUUAGCCAAUACCGCCAAAGGAUAAACCUGCUGACGAACCUGACCGACCACCACAUGGACGAGACAGACCGGCUACUCACGCCGAACACCAGCCCGCGCCACCCCGCCAUCGAGGCAAGGAGGCAGCGGCCCCAGGCUAUACCUACGACCUACGCAAGGACCUGGACAAUAGAGUCGGUCAGACAAUAUCAAUCUAUGGAUCAAGGGGGCAUGCUCCAACACGAGAGGACGGCCACCAGGCCUGGCGCGACAGGCACAAACUCACCCGGGUCGAAAACCGCACACGGACUUCAUCCGAACUGCGCCACGACUUCGCCUGAUACAGAGGCGCCGCACACCCCUUAUGCUUCACCGAUGAGGUGAUGGAGUACCAGUUCCCAGAAGGGUUUAAACCCAUGAAAAUUGAAUACUACGAUGGUACGACGGCUCCCGCAGUAUGGAUCGAAGAUUUUCUUCUCCACAUUCACAUGGCUCGCAGCGAUGACCUCCACGCCAUCACGUACCUUCCCCUAAAAUUCAAGGGGCCAGCACGGCACUGGUUAAACAGCCUCCCAGAGAACUCUAUUGGUAGUUGGGAAGACUUGGAAGCUGCCUUUAGAGACAACUUCCAAGGUACCUAUGUUCGGACUCCAGACACCGAUGACCUUAGUCACAUAGUCCAGCAACCUGGAGGAUCAGCCCGGAAACUCUGGACCAGGUUCUUAAUUAAAAGAAACCAAAUUGUGGAUUGUCCGGACACCGAAGCCCUCGCGGCCUUUAAACACAGCGUCCGAGACGAGUGGCUUGCCCGACACCUCGGCCAAGAAAAAUCAAAGUCCAGGGCAGCCAUUACCGCACUUAUGACCCACUUCUGUGCGGGAGAAGAUAACUAGCUAGCUCGUAGAAGCAAUAGCACCAGCGACCCUGGCACCUCCGAAGCCAGAGAUGGCAACGACAAGCCACGACGAAACAAACACAAGCGUUGAAGCAAUACCGAAGAUACCGAAGACAUGACGGUCAAUGCCGGAUUCAGUGGCUCUAAACCCGGUCAGCGAAAGAAGCCAUUCAAAGGAAACAAGGAUUGUCCAUCUAGUUUGGACAGAAUACUCGAUCGGCCUUGCCAGAUUCAUGACACCCCUGACAAGCCUGCCAAUCAUACCAACAAAAAUUGUUGGGUCUUUAAACAGGCCGGCAAGCUAAACGCCGAACAUAAGGGGAAGGGGCCGCCCAGCAAGGACGAUGAUGAAGAGCCUCACCCCCCGAGCACAGGGGACAGAAGAAAUUUCCCCCCAAGGUAAAAACAGUGAAUAUGAUAUAUGCUACACAUAUCCCCAAAAGGGAGCACAAGCGCGCACUAAAGGACGUCUAUGCCAUAGAGCUAGUCGCCCCAAAAUUCAACCCAUGGUCAGCCUGUCCGAUCACUUUCGAUCACAGAGACCACCCGACCAGUAUCCGUCAUGGAGGUUCGAUAGCAUUGGUCCUCGACCCAAUUAUCGACGGAUUCCAUCUCAUGCGCGUCCUCAUGGAUGGCGAUAGCAGCCUUAAUCUGCUUUAUCAGGACAUUGCCCGCAAGAUGGGUAUCGAUUCAUCAAGGAUCAAGCCCACUAAAACUACCUUUAAAGGAGUAAUACCCGGCGUUGAGGCCUGUUGCACAGGGUCCAUAACACUGGAGGAAGUCUUCGGUUCGCCGGAUAAUUUCCGUAGCGAAGACUUGAUCUUCGAUAUCACCCCUUUCCGUAGUGGCUAUCACACACUGCUCGGGAGAACCGCCUUCGCCCGCUUCAAUGCGGUCCUGCACUACGCUUACUUAAAGCUCAAAAUGCUUGGACCCUGCGGCGUUAUUACAGUUAAUGGAAACAUGGAGCGCUCCCUCCGUACUGAGGAGCAUACCGCGGCCCUCGCAGCCGAAGCACAUGGUGGCCUUGUCAACCGAAUACUACUUCGGCAGUCAAGCCCCCGGACACAAUAAAACGAGUCCAGUCUUCCCCCACAGAACGAUAGUCCGGCUCGUCUAGAGCUAGAUUAGCAAUCCGGCCUCCGUCACAACCCCAGAUGGAUAGCGGCAUACGUACCGCGCGUACAUAACGACGCACUAAAGAUACCAUGGACAAGGACGGAGGCAUACUAAAGACAAAGUCCACGGUACGUGUUGGGGAUAUAACUAUUGGGUUUAACUCGCCCAGGAGGGGCCGGGUUAAGCCCCUGGUGGUUCAUCAAGACAAAGCCCAUGAAGAUGCUUAAGACGGUAGUUCACUACGCAGAUUCAUCGAGGGCCUGAAGCCCAAAGGCGACUUAAGGCCCAAACAAGUGUAAACCGCCAUAUAUGUGUAACUUGUAUUAUAAGGCAUGUACAGUUAGUCACCGAGCCGGACACGUUGUUUAUGAGCCGACCGGGACUCUGUAAGCCGCUGGGCGUCGACCUGUGUAUAUAAAGGGACGACCCGGCGGUGAGUUAGGACAAGAAACAACAGAUCAAAGCUAGGUCAAGCGUAUUCGCUCCCUGGUAAUCGAGACAUAAGCAAUACCACCUCAAACUGGAUUAGGCCUUUACCUUCACCGCAAGGGUCCGUACCAGUAUAAAUUCCUUGUGUCCUUUGUCCCGUUUAACCCCUUUAAGAUAACCCUGUUGCGAUGGCUCCACGACUAAGUCCUUCUGCUAGGACAUCUGCCGUGACAUUUCCACGACAGUUGGUGCCCACCAUGGGGCCAGCGCACGGUGGUUUCGAGUACUUACAGUGCCGGAUGACCAAGAGUCGCCGCGGCAAGCUCUACAUCGAUGACGCGGGCUGGGGCCCCGAGGCCGGCUCAAUCGAGUAUGGGUACCGGGUCCCCUUCGGCAAGAUUCACGUCUUCAUCGGAAAGAUCGGCGAACCGGGCCCUGAGCCGGACAUCUGCACCGACAUCAUCGAGAUGGCUCAGCAUGCACGACCCGCCCGGGCUCAACCCGCCAUGAAGCACGCCUUCGUUGGAUUCAUCCAUGGGGCGGAAUUUGAGGAAGGAUCUGUGUCUGGCGGAGAGACGGCCACCUAUUCUGAUGGUGAGUCAUCCACGGGCGAGACUACUUCAUUGUAUCAACUGCAAGAUGGCAUGCUUGGGGGCUGUUCCGAUGGCGAUAGUAUUCCGGACCCCUGUGAGCCGCCAAACUGGGUUUCAAUUUUCAUGGCCGGUACACAGUCAGGGCAGAAUUCUACUACUGCAGCAGUGAUGGUUUCCGGGUCAGCAGCGGCAACGGCGGCCGGGGCAGGAGGCCCUGUGCGCCCGCCGGCUCAGGUCUUGUCCGGCUUGUUGGACACUCUGACAACAUUAUUAACAUCAGAAGUUAACCCGAAUGGUUGAGGCACCUGGGGGUGGAACACUGGCUCAGCCACGCGCAACAGACCCGCCCUGUCUAAAUAAUACCCCGCCACAGUAUGUGCCGACACCACCGGUUCAUUAUUCUAACCCUUUGGAUAAUAUGGUCACUGUGGCGACGUGGUUGGCGGCUCUCCUAGUUGAAGGCGAGUCUCCAGCUGCAAUUGAAACACGGAGGGCUAGAGAGCUUCUUCAGACAGCACGGGUACAACAGGAUGCUUAUUCUUAUAGUCGAGAGAGGAUUCACUCAACCCCUCGCCCGAUCCAGAGUUAUAGCAGGCACAUUGACUCACCAGUCGUUUCAAGCAGUAACAGACACCGUAACCAGCCUCGUGGACAUAACCUGGCGUGCGGUGGUGCUAAUGCUCAGGAUCUGGUGGAUCAGGGUAGAGCACGUCAGGAAGUCGAUUUGGCGGCUCAGUAAGGGGCUCAUCAACGUUCUCCAGUUUAUCUAAGAACUUCGGUGGAGACAGGGGUAACCUCCAGAACCUUGGGAGUGCCAUGUUUGGUGCCAGCUUUGCGUAACGUACGUUUGCCUAAGGAUUUCAAGGGUCCUCGUAAGGUGCCUAACUACACAGCUGACUUACCCCCUCAAGCUUGGGUUGAGAGUUAUGAGAUGGCAGUGGAGCUGUUGGAUGUUGACGAUGCUGCAUGUGCUAAGUACUUCACGAUGAUGUUGUAAGGGACGGCCCGCACUUGCUUGAAAGGGCUGCCUGCUAACUCCAUUGGAUCAUGGGCCGAGUUAAAAGCUCGGUUUAUCCAGAAUUUUAAAGAUACAUGCAAGCAGCCUAUGUCGAUUGUGGAUCUGGAUUCCUGUGUCCAAGAAGAAGGCGAGUCAACGACCCAUUGGGUGUGCCGGGUCUCGACUAUCCUACAUUCAUCGGAUCAUAUUUAUGCCGGCUCAGCAGUCUUGAUGUUAGAGAAGAAUUGUUGUUUUAUGCCCCUUAAGCAGAAGUUAUGGCGGCUCAAGCGCCACUGCAGUGACAUGGGGGAGCUGAUGGCGGCUCUUGUUAAGUAUGCUGACUCUGAUAGUACCAAGGACCCCGAGUCUGAUGAAAAGCCGGGAAAUGGAAAGAAGAGUAGCAGUACCAUAGGGCAGCAACAUAACCCGACGAGUCAGGGAGGCAACGGUAAGCGCAAAGCUGAUAAUAAUUUGGAUUUUGUGGCUAACACCAAUACAACCACCUCCACGGAUUGGGGGGGGGCAGGUUUCGAUCUUGAGCGGCAGCUGAAUCUGCCCUGUCCAAGGCGUGGUACAUGGGAAAGGUCGUCCACUCACCUCUGGAAGGAUUGCUUUAUUAUGAAGGAGUACAAAAAUUCCAAUUUUUUUCAAGACAAUCAUGGGCCGGUCGGCGGCUCAGGUUCCGGCUCUCAUGGUCCGGGUUACGAUGGUGGCGGUUCUAGUUCCGGUUUUCAAGGCCAAGGUAAUCAGGGUGGUUACAACCAACAGAACAAUCAGGGGAAUCAGCAGCAGCAAUCUGGUUAUCAGAGUAACCCGAAGUAGUUGAAUAGUGGGAAGUACCACAUUUUCACCACAAGUUUAUGAAAGCAGGAUCAGAAGCUCCAAAAAAGAGCAGUGAACGCCGUUGAGUCAGCGGUUCCCCGUUACUUGCGAUGGUCUGAACAGCCCAUUGUGUGGAGUCAUGAGGAUCACCCGCCCCGGGUUGAUAAUCCGGGUCACUUGGCGCUGGUGGUGGCGCCUCAGGUUGGAGGAUACAAAUUCACCAAGGUGCUCAUGGAUGGAGGCAGCAGCAUCAAUAUCCUUUACUAUGAUACUUUCCGUUGCAUGGGAUUGACUGACAAAAAUAUUAAGUCAUUGAAUACAGUUUUUCAUGGUGUGGUGCCUCACAAGUCGGCAUAUCCGGUUGGUAAAACAUCUCUGGAGGUUGACUUUGGAGAUGAUUAUGAUUCCAGACCUAAGAUGUUGACCUUUGAAGUGUUUAAAAUCAAGAGCCCUUAUCAUGCUCUGUUUGGGCGGCCGGCUUAUGCUAAGUUCAUGGCAAGGCCUUGUUAUGUUUAUUUGCAGCUGAAGAUGCCAGGUCACAAGGGCACUAUAACAGUGCAUGGGAGUCGCAAAGUAGCCAUGGAGUGUGAAGAAGGCGAUGCUGCUUAUGCUGAGUCUGUUUGUGCGACAGAGGAGUUGAAGUUUUACAAGGAUAAUGCCGGCGAAUAUGACAUCUUUAAAAAAGCCAACCACAUAGCAUGACCCUUUGUUGAUGUUUAAGUCGGCAGACGACACCAAGCUAGUUGACUUUGUUCCUGGCGACUCAUCCAAGCAGUUCAUUAUCAGUGCUAAUUUGGAUUCAAAAUAGGAAAGCGCGCUCUAAUGUCUACUACACAACCUUCUUCUCAUAGACGUUGUUGGGCCUCCAAGUACAGAGGUUUGUAGGACAGUAGCAAAUUUCCCUCAAGUGGAUGACCUAAGGUUUAUCAAUCCGUGGGAGGCCUAGGAUGAAGAUGGUCUCUCUCAAACAACCUUGCAACCAAAUAACAAAGAGUCUCUUGUGUCCCCAACACACCCAAUACAAUGGUAAAUUGUAUAGGUGCACUAGUUCGGCGAAGAGAUGGUGAUACAAGUGCAAUAUGGAUGGUAGAUAUAGGUUUUUGUAAUCUAAAAAUAUAAAAACAGCAAGGUAACUAAUGAUAAAAGUGAGCGAAAACGGUAUUGCAAUGCGUUGAAACAAGGCCUAGAGUUCAUACUUUCACUAGUGCAAGUUCUCUCAACAAUAAUAACAUAAUUGGAUCAUAUAACUAUCCCUCAACAUGCAACAAAGAGGCACUCCAAAGUCACUAAUAGCGGAGAACAAACAAAGAGAUUAUUGUUGGGUACGAAACCACCUCAAAGUUAUCUUUUCUAAUCGAUCUAUUCAAGAGUCUGUAGUAAAAUAACACAAAGCUAUUCUUUCCGUUCGAUCUAUCCUAGAGUUCGUACUAGAAUAACACCUUAAGACACAAAUCAACCAAAACCCUAAUGCCACCUAGAUACUCCAAUGUCACCUCAAGUAUCCGUGGGUAUGAUUAUACGAUGUGCAUCACACAAUCUCAGAUUCAUCUAUUCAACCAACACAAAGAACUUCAAAGAGUGCCCCAAAGUUUCUACCAGAGAGUCAAGACGAAAACGUGUGCCAACCCCUAUGCAUAGAUUCCCAAGGUCACGGAACCCGCAAGUUGAUCACCAAAACAUACAUCAAGUGAAUCAAUAGAAUACCCCAUUGUCACCACGGGUAUCCCACGCAAGACAUACAUCAAGUGUUCUCAAAUCCUUAAAGACUCAAUCCGAUAAGAUAACUUCAAAGGGAAAACUCAAUCCACCACAAGAGAGUAGAGGGGGAGAAACAUCAUAAGAUCCAACUAUAAUAGCAAAGCUCGCCGUACAUCAAGAUCAUGCCAAAUCAAGAACACGAGAGAGAGAGAGAUCAAACAUAUAGCUACUGGUACAUACCCUCAGCCCCGAGGGUGAACUACUCCCUCCUCGUCAUGGAGAGCGCCGGGAUGAUGAAGAUGGCCACCGGUGAGGGAUCCCCCUCUGGCAGGGUGCCGGAAUAGGGCCCCGAUUGGUUUUUUGUGGCUACAGAGUUUUUCGGCGGCGGAACUCCCAAUCUAGGUUAUGUUCUGGAAGUUUGGGUAUAUAUAAGAGGUAUUGGCAUCGGGAACAAGUCAGGGGGGUCUCCGAGGCGGCCACAAGGUAGGGGGCGCGCCCAGGGGGUAGGGCGUGCCCCCCACCCUCGUGGGUGCCUCGGGACGCUUCUGGGCCAUCUCCGAUACUCCGUGGGCAUCUUCUGGUCCCAAAAUAAACUCCGUGAAAUUUGAGGUCAAUUGGACUCCGUUUGGUUUUCCUUUUCUGUGAUACUCAAAAACAAGGAAAAAACAGAAACUGGCACUGGGCUCUAGGUUAAUAGGUUAGUCCCAAAAAUCAUAUAAAAUAGCAUAUAAAACAUCCUAGAUGGAUAAUAUAAUAGCAUGGAACAAUCAAAUAUUAUAGAUACGUUGGAUACGUAUCAAGCAUCCCCAAGCCUAAUUCCUGCUUGUCCUCGAAUAGGUAAAUGAUAAAAAAAGAAUUUUUGAUGUGGAAUGCUACCUAACAUAAUUUUCAAUGUAAUUUUCUUUAUUGUGGAAUGAAUGUUCAGAUCCGAAAUAUCCAAUACAAAAGUUUAAUAUUGACAUAAAAAUAAUAAUACUUCAAGCAUACUAACCAAGCAAUUAUGUCUUAUCAAAAUAACAUAGCCAAAGAAAGCUCAUCCCUACAAAAUCAUAUAGUUUGGCCAUACUUCAUUUUCGUCACACAAAAAUGCUCUUAUCAUGCACAACCCCGAUGACAAGCCAAGCAAUUGUUUCAUACUUUAGUAUUCUCAGACUUUUUCAACUUUCACGCAAUACAUGAGAGUGAGCCAUGGACAUAGCACUAUGGGUGGAAUAGAAUAUGAUGAGGGGGUUGUGUGGAGAAGACAAAAAAGGAGAAAGUCUCACAUUGACGCGGCUAAUCAACGGGCUAUGGAGAUGCCCAUCAGUUGAUGUCAAUGCGAGGAGCAGGGAUUGCCAUGCAACGGAUGCACUAGAGCUAUAAAUGUAUGAAAGCUCAACAAAAGAAACUAAGUGGGUGUGCAUCCGACUUGCUUGCUCACGAAGACCUAGGGCAUUUGAGGAAGCCCAUUGUUGGAAUAUACAAGCCAAGUUCUAUAAUGAAAAAUUUCCACUAGUAUAUGAAAGUGACAAAAUAAGCGACUCUCUAUCAUGAAGAUCAUGGUGCUGCUUUGAAGCACAACUGUGGAAAAAGGAUAGUAGCAUUGUCCCUUCUAUCUCUUUUUUUUAAACGGGACAAUGCUCUAAUAAUGAUGAUCAUCACACUUCUAUUUAUUUUACAACUCAAAGAUUACAACUCGAUACUAGAACAAGAUAUAACUCUAUAUGACUGCCUCCGGCGGUGUACCGGGAUGGGCAAUGAAUCAAGAGUGACAUGUAUGAAAAAUUAUGCAUGGUGGCCUUGCCACAAAUACGAUGUCAACUACAUGAUCAUGCAAGGCAAUAUGACAAUGAUGAAUCAUAUCAUAAUAAACGGAACGGUGGAAAGUUGCGUGGCAAUAUAUCUCGGAAUGGCUAUGGAAAUGCCAUAAUAGGUAGGUUGGUGGCUGUUUUUGAGGAAGACAUAAGGAGGCUCAUGUGUGAUAGAGCGUAUCAUAUCACGGGGUUUGGAUGCACCGGCGAAGUUUGCACCAACUCUCAAGGUGAGAAAGGGCAAUGCACGGUACCGAAGAGGCUAGCAAUGAUGGAAGGGUGAGAGUGCGUAUAAUCCAUGUACUCAACAUUAGUCAUAAAGAACUCACAUACUUAUUGCAAAAAUCUACAAGUCAUCAAAACCAAGCACUACGCGCAUGCUCCUAGGGGGAUAGAUUGGUAGAAAAAGACCAUCGCUCGUCCCUGACCACCACUCAUAAGGAAGGCAAUCAAAGAAACACCUCAUGCUUCAAAUUUGUUACACAACGGUUACCAUACGUGCAUGCUACGGGACUUGCAAACCUCAACACAAGUAUUUCUCAAUUCCACAAUUACUCAACUAGCAUGCCUCUAAUAUUACCAUCUUCAUAUCUCAAAACAAUCAUCAAGUAUCAAACUUCUCAUAGUAUUCAAUGCACUCUAUAUGAAAGUUUUUAUUAUACCCAUAUUGGAUUCACAUCAUAUUAGGACUAAUUUUAUAACCAAAGAAAAUUACCAUGCUGUUCUAAAAGACUCUCAAAAUAAUAUAAAUGAAGCAUGAUAGAUCAACAAUUUCUUCAAAAUGAAACUACCGUCAUGCUCUAAGAAGAUAUAAGUGAAGCACUAGAGCAAAUGACAAACUACCCAAAAGAUAUACUCCCUCUAUACCGAUAUAUUUGUCGUUGGGGGAUUAUUCCGACCAGGUGAAAACGGGAAAAUGUACCAAACUACCCCUAAUUUGAAAUACUUGUCGCUGGGGAUCGUCGUCUUCCUCCAUCCGCCAUCCGCCCCGCACCCCCGGCGUCCUCAGCUCCUUCACCCUCCGCUGCAGCUCCGGCGUCCUUCCCCGCCGGCCGCCUUCCUCCGCUCCAAUCGAGAGCCUGAGGUCGAUCAACCGCUGGUAUGCCAUCCGCCACAGCGCCGGCGUCCUUCCCAAAUUGAUCCACAUCUCCUGUCCACUACCGCUCCUCUUGAAUUGAUCCAUAGCUCCAAUCCACUGCUGCUCCUCUCAAAUUGAUCCACAGCUCCAAUCCUCUGCUGCUCCGCUGCUUGAUUUUGGCUCCGAUCGUGGUAUAGCUGGUUGUUGAUCCCCUGAGGUAGUGAAGUCCGCCG